AACAAUCUGCUGUGCUAGAUACACCCUUAGGACAGGAUUGGUUUGGAAUGGGAAGGACUGGUGGAGCUUGUCAUUAAACAAAAAUUGUGUUUAAUAAAACUUUAUAACCGUGAUUAAUCCUAUGAGGCCCUAAAGGAGUUUGCAGUUUCUGAUAAACACAUUUUCCUUGUUUGCAAUGGUAAUGAUAUUUUGAAGUGAAUGGAAUCUGAACAAAAAACUCUAAGGGUAAAAAAGGACUUGUCAGGUACCACCUAUGAAGAAAUUACAAUGACACAAAAGAAAAAGGAGCCACCCACAAGGGAAACCUUAGAUUAUAUGUUUGAAGGAAGAAAGAAAAGAUAGGUCAUUGAAGGUCUGCCUUUAGAGUAGUCUGAUCACCACAGAAGUGCCUAUAAAAACACAGAAAUUAUCUGAGGGCAUCUAGCAUGCGAGGAAUAGCACCACAUGUUAGGUGCAGGUGCUCAUUUGCAAAUGCGUACAGGACUGGAGCUACAGCCAUGAGCUGAAGUAAUUUGUUUGCAGGGAGCAGGGAAUAUUUUCCACUGUGAAUGCUUUGCUGACCAGCACAAAGUCCCAGGACUGAAUCACUAAAAAAAGACAUUUUGCAAGGAGAGCAGCUUUCACAGGGAAAGAAAAGAGUGUCAAUCCAGCAUCCGCACUGGAUGGGCUCUGAUGACCUUAACAAUCUCCAGCUUCUGCGAUUCCAUAAAGAUAUGAUACCUCAAGGCAAACCAAGGAAGACAUUUUUCAGUCAAUCUCAAAAUAUUUCAGCAAAGCACUCUAACAAAGACAUUAGGGUCCCAGAACAGUGACAGCUUUAAGGCAGUGUUCAUGUCCUUCUGGCACUGAAAUGACUCAUGGCCCAGAGGAGAUAUCGGGAUGUGAUUAAGG
ensembl:lncRNA